AAGGUACAACAGCUGGAGAAUGCCUUCUCUGUUUACAACACACCCAACAGGAAUUUAGGGCCACUGUGACAAGGGGCACAGAACUUGUGGCUUCUCUUUGAGCAAAUGUCCCACACAU
rnacentral:snoRNA from 1 species